rnacentral:lncRNA from 1 species
GAAAUUAAGCUGCUCCAAAAGAGAGUGCAGUGCGUUUCCCUACGCUCGGCAUGCACAGAGGGGCUCUAAGGGUCUAAGGGACUGGAUGUUGCUUACCAGACCCAGGUGCGCCUGGGGGUACUCAGUGUUCCUGCCGUGAACAGGGUGCCCACGCUAGCCUCCUAGGUGUCCAGAAUACGGUGCCGCCGUUGAAAGGAUACGCAGAGCAGAGGCCACCGGCUCUUGAAACUGCUGCACACCUCCGCUUCUGCACGGCAAAUCGGGGCCAUACUUUCAGGCAUGUGUGAAUGCUGGGUGUGCCGGUAGUGACACCGCAUAGUAAGAUGCUGACCUUCUCCUCGAGCAUGGUGACUUCAGUUGUGAGGUCCUCGGAAUAUUCAAAGCAGAGUGUUUUCUCAUGGCAGCUCACACAAGGGCCGUGACAAAGUCCUCCUGGGCACUUCGGACUCACCAGCAGUGUUGUCCUGAGGUCGUUCGAGGACUCUGGACAUGUAGCUCUCCUCAAGGAACCUACAGUGUGUUGCCCGUCACUCGGCACGCACAGAGGGCCUCUGAGGGAUGAACAAAUGGGCCUCGAAUUUGCUUAGAUGGCCCACAGGGGUGUGGAGGCACUCAGUGAACUGGACGGAAAAUGAUGCAUUCCCGAGAGGCCUAGGAGUCGUCAGACGUGUACUUCCUUGAAAAUGAAACAUAUAAGCGUCUAAGAGCUCAUGGAGACAGCUGCAUGCCUCCGUAUCUACACGGCUACCAAGGGCGUACACUGGAGGCAUGUUCCCACGUUGAGAUUCCUUUUAGCUCUAGAGUUUGUCAGGCUGACCGCCACCGCGGCCAUGGAAGCACCCGGUUUAGACAGAGCAGAUUCAUUUUCUCCCCAGAAGCAAUCUAACAGGGUUUACUGGCCUGUCAAGAGCAGGGAAGGUCAGGCAGCUUCAACGCAGCAUGAAUGCAGCCUUCAAAAGGGGAAAGCAAGGCUAGUUCCAGCAGGCCGCCGUUUCCACGGGCACACUCAGCAUGCACCGCUGUGGUUUCUAACAAGUCCAAAGAGACAUCGGUUACCCUGUGUUUCCCUCCCUGUAGCAGUUUCUCGAAGUAGGCUCUUCUGCAUCAAGCACACUGCCUCAACCGAGGAACGCCGUAGGUGCUCCUCUGCGCCCGUGGCUAUUCAAAAGCCUGCAGUGCCACAGGAAGAACAGGACUUAAAUUGCAGUGAGAACGCAAGCCGACUUCCUCCAGGAGGCACGGUGACUUCAGGCAGGAGGUCCUAGAUGGAAUGAGAAGCCGAGGGUUUCUCUGACUGCAGCUCAGACUAGGGCAACGCGUAAGACUUCGACGCCAUGUGGGACGUGCCAGGACGUUGUUCGUGAACGUGUGCGAGUGCUGAGGAAAUUAAGCUGCUCCAGAAGAGUGUGCAGUGCGUUUCCCUACGCUCGGCAUGCACAGAGGGGCUCUAAGGGUCUAAGGGACUGGAUGUUGCUUACCAGACCCAGGUGCGUCUGGGGGUACUCAGUGUUCCUGCCGUGAACAGGGUGCCCACGCUAGCCUCCUAGGUGUCCAGAAAACUGUGCCGCCGUUAAAGAUACGCAGAGCAGAGGCCACCGGCUCUUGGAAACUGCUGCACGCCUCCGCUUCUGCACGGCAAAUCGGGGCCAUACUUUCAGGCAUGUGUGAAUGCUGGGUGUGCCGGUAGCGACACCGCAUAGUAAGAUGCUGACCUUCUCCUCGAGCAUGGUGACUUCAGUUGUGAGGUCCUCGGAAUAUUCAAAGCAGAGUGUUUUCUCAUGGCAGCUCACACAAGGGCCGUGACAAAGUCCUCCUGGGCACUUCGGACUCACCAGCAGUGUUGUCCUGAGGUCGUUCGAGGACUCUGGACAUGUAGCUCUCCUCAAGGAACCUACAGUGUGUUGCCCGUCACUCGGCACGCACAGAGGGCCUCUGAGGGAUGAACAAAUGGGCCUCGAAUUUGCUUAGACGGCCCACAGGGGUGUGGAGGCACUCAGUGAACUGGACGGAAAAUGAUGCAUUCCCGAGAGGCCUAGGAGUCGUCAGACGUGUACUUCCUUGAAAAUGAAACAUAUAAGCGUCUAAGAAGCUCAUGGAGACAGCUGCAUGCCUCCGUAUCUACACGGCUACCAAGGGCGUACACUGGAGGCAUGUUCCCACGUUGAGAUUCCUUUUAGCUCUAGAGUUUGUCAGGCUGACCGCCACCGCGGCCAUGGAAGCACCCGGUUUAGACAGAGCAGAUUCAUUUUCUCCCCAGAAGCAAUCUAACAGGGUUUACUGGCCUGUCAAGAGCAGGGAAGGUCAGGCAGCUUCAACGCAGCAUGAAUGCAGCCUUCAAAAGGGGAAAGCAAGGCUAGUUCCAGCAGGCCGCCGUUUCCACGGGCACACUCAGCAUGCACCGCUGUGGUUUCUAACAAGUCCAAAGAGACACAGGUUACCCUGUGUUUCCCUCCCUGUAGCAGUUUCUCGAAGUAGGCUCUUCUGCAUCAAGCACACUGCCUCAACCGAGGAACGCCGUAGGUGCUCCUCUGCUCCUGUGGCUAUUCAAAAGCCCGCAGUGCCACAGGAAGAAUAGGACUUAAAUUGCAGUGAGAACGCAAGCCGACUUCCUCCAGGAGGCACGGUGACUUCAGGCAGGAGGUCCUAGAUGGAAUGAGAAGCCGAGGGUUUCUCUGAGUGCAGCUCAGACUAGGGCAACGCGUAAGACUUCGACGCCAUGUGGGACGUGCCAGGACGUUGUUCGAGAACGUGUGCGAGUGCUGAGGAAAUUAAGCUGCUCCAGAAGAGUGUGCAGUGCGUUUCCCUACGCUCGGCAUGCACAGAGGGGCUCUAAGGGUCUAAGGGACUGGAUGUUGCUUACCAGACCCAGGUGCGCCUGGGGGUACUCAGUGUUCCUGCCGUGAACAGGGUGCCCACGCUAGCCUCCUAGGUGUCCAGAAUACGGUGCCGCCGUUGAAGGUACGCAGAGCAGAGGCCACCGGCUCUUGAAACUGCUGCACGCCUCCGCUUCUGCACGGCAAAUCGGGGCCAUACUUUCAGGCAUGUGUGAAUGCUGGGUGUGCCGGUAGCGACACCGCAUAGUAAGAUGCUGACCUUCUCCUCGAGCAUGGUGACUUCAGUUGUGAGGUCCUCGGAAUAUUCAAAGCAGAGUGUUUUCUCAUGGCAGCUCACACAAGGGCCGUGACAAAGUCCUCCUGGGCACUUCGGACUCACCAGCAGUGUUGUCCUGAGGUCGUUCGAGGACUCUGGACAUGUAGCUCUCCUCAAGGAACCUACAGUGUGUUGCCCGUCACUCGGCACGCACAGAGGGCCUCUGAGGGAUGAACAAAUGGGCCUCGAAUUUGCUUAGAUGGCCCACAGGGGUGUGGAGGUACUCAGUGAACUGGACGGAAAAUGAUGCAUUCCCGAGAGGCCUAGGAGUCGUCAGACGUGUACUUCCUUGAAAAUGAAACAUAUAAGCGUCUAAGAGCUCAUGGAGACAGCUGCAUGCCUCCGUAUCUACACGGCUACCAAGGGCGUACACUGGAGGCAUGUUCCCACGUUGAGAUUCCUUUUAGCUCUAGAGUUUGUCAGGCUGACCGCCACCGCGGCCAUGGAAGCACCCGGUUUAGACAGAGCAGAUUCAUUUUCUCCCCAGAAGCAAUCUAACAGGGUUUACUGGCCUGUCAAGAGCAGGGAAGGUCAGGCAGCUUCAACGCAGCAUGAAUGCAGCCUUCAAAAGGGGAAAGCAAGGCUAGUUCCAGCAGGCCGCCGUUUCCACGGGCACACUCAGCAUGCACCGCUGUGGUUUCUAACAAGUCCAAAGAGACACAGGUUACCCUGUGUUUCCCUCCCUGUAGCAGUUUCUCGAAGUAGGCUCUUCUGCAUCAAGCACACUGCCUCAACCGAGGAACGCCGUAGGUGCUCCUCUGCGCCCGUGGCUAUUCAAAAGCCUGCAGUGCCACAGGAAGAACUAGGACUUAAAUUGCAGUGAGAACGCAAGCCGACUUCCUCCAGGAGGCACGGUGACUUCAGGCAGGAGGUCCUAGAUGGAAUGAGAAGCCGAGGGUUUCUCUGAGCUGCACUCAGACUAGGGCAACGCGUAAGACUUCGACGCCAUGUGGGACGUGCCAGGACGUUGUUCGUGAACGUGUGCGAGUGCUGAGGAAAUUAAGCUGCUCCAGAAGAGUGUGCAGUGCGUUUCCCUACGCUCGGCAUGCACAGAGGGGCUCUAAGGGUCUAAGGGACUGGAUGUUGCUUACCAGACCCAGGUGCGUCUGGGGGUACUCAGUGUUCCUGCCGUGAACAGGGUGCCCACGCUAGCCUCCUAGGUGUCCAGAAAACUGUGCCGCCGUUAAAGAUACGCAGAGCAGAGGCCACCGGCUCUUGGAAACUGCUGCACGCCUCCGCUUCUGCACGGCAAAUCGGGGCCAUACUUUCAGGCAUGUGUGAAUGCUGGGUGUGCCGGUAGCGACACCGCAUAGUAAGAUGCUGACCUUCUCCUCGAGCAUGGUGACUUCAGUUGUGAGGUCCUCGGAAUAUUCAAAGCAGAGUGUUUUCUCAUGGCAGCUCACACAAGGGCCGUGACAAAGUCCUCCUGGGCACUUCGGACUCACCAGCAGUGUUGUCCUGAGGUCGUUCGAGGACUCUGGACAUGUAGCUCUCCUCAAGGAACCUACAGUGUGUUGCCCGUCACUCGGCACGCACAGAGGGCCUCUGAGGGAUGAACAAAUGGGCCUCGAAUUUGCUUAGAUGGCCCACAGGGGUGUGGAGGUACUCAGUGAACUGGACGGAAAAUGAUGCAUUCCCGAGAGGCCUAGGAGUCGUCCGACGUGUACUUCCUUG